rnacentral:rRNA from 1 species
AUUGAACGCUGGCGGCAGGCCUAAUACAUGCAAGUCGAACGGUAACAUAAAAGAAGCUUGCUUCUUUUGAUGACGAGUGGCGGACGGGUGAGUAAUAUUUGGGAAACUACCUGAUAGAGGGGGACAACAGUUGGAAACGACUGCUAAUACCGCAUAAAGCCUGAGGGUGAAAGCAGCAAUGCGCUAUCAGAUGUGCCCAAACGGGAUUAGCUAGCAGGUGAGGUAAAGGCUCACCUAGGCGACGAUCUCUAGCUGGUCUGAGAGGAUGAUCAGCCACAUUGGGACUGAGACACGGCCCAGACUCCUACGGGAGGCAGCAGUGGGGAAUAUUGGGCAAUGGGGGGAAACCCUGACCCAGCAACGCCGCGUGAAGGAAGAAGGCUUUCGGGUUGUAAACUUCUUUUGUCGAGGAAGAGUAGAAGACUGUACUCGGCGAAUAAGCCACGGCUAACUACGUG